GGGGAUUUAGCUCAGUGGUAGAGUAUUUGCCUAGCAAGCGCAAGGCCCUGGGUUCGGUCCCCAGCUCCA
rnacentral:tRNA from 1 species